AACGAACGCUGGCGGCAGGCCUAAUACAUGCAAGUCGAGCGCGCCCUUCGGGUGAGCGGCGGACGGGUUAGUAACGCGUGGGAACGUGCCCUUUGGUACGGAAUAGCCUCUGGAAACGGAGAGUAAUACCGUAUGAGCCCUUCGGGGAAAGAUUUAUCGCCAAAGGAUCGGCCCGCGUUAGAUUAGGUAGUUGGUGGGGUAAUGGCCUACCAAGCCUACGAUCUAUAGCUGGUUUUAGAGGAUGAUCAGCAACACUGGGACUGAGACACGGCCCAGACUCCUACGGGAGGCAGCAGUGGGGAAUCUUGGACAAUGGGGGCAACCCUGAUCCAGCCAUGCCGCGUGAGUGAUGAAGGCCUUAGGGUCGUAAAGCUCUUUCGCCUGUGAAGAUAAU
rnacentral:rRNA from 1 species